rnacentral:misc_RNA from 1 species
UUGUGGAGGAGGACGCCGAAGGUGGGGCUAAUGACUGGGGUGAAGUCGUAACAAGGUAGCCGUACCGGAAGGUGCGGCUGGAUCACCUCCUAACAGGGAGACAACAAAAUGUUUAAUAUUAAUUUUGUCACCUUAGGUCGAUCGGUAUCUCACAUUCUUAAUUUAUUUAAGGAUUUUUUUUCCUAAGUUUUUCUAGGUCACACCCAUUACUUUUCCUGGGCCAUUAGCUCAGGUGGUUAGAGCGCACCCCUGAUAAGGGUGAGGUCCCUGGUUCAAGUCCAGGAUGGCCCAUAUCUCUAUGUUGGGGGUAUAGCUCAGUUGGUAGAGCGCCUGCUUUGCAAGCAGGAUGUCAGCGGUUCGAGUCCGCUUACCUCCACUGAUUACCACCUCUUCCAUAUUCUUAGAAGGAAACGUAUUGAGUAGUGAACAUUUUCUGAACGAAUCUAGCUUCCUAAUGAAUAUUAAGAUGCUGGACUCAUUGAAUUAAUUUCAUUGUUUUCAGAGAACCUUGACAACUGCAUAGAUUUUUUAAAGACAAUUAGCAUCUUUAAUGAUGCAGAUUUAUUAUUUGUGCUAAUGCAUUAAUAACAAUUCUAUUAAGCUGAUGCUUCAAUUUUUGAAGUUAUUGGUCAAGCUACAA